AGAGAGAAAGAAAGGAUGGCGACACCAUGUCAAGAAGAUUCAUAUGUCUGUCAACACCCACCCUAUACCAAGAAGAGUCUGCAGUGACAAGGACCUCAGUCCAGGGGUCUGAUAGCUGUAAUAAUAGCAUUAGCAACAAGGUAUUAACACAAAAGGUGCACCCCAUUACAGGGGUCCAAAACAUGGGGGAAAGGUUAUUGAAUUAGUAAUAAAAGGAGUUGCAUUAAAGGGGAGAGAAGAGAAAAAAAGAGAUAAGAAGAACAGAGAAGAGACCUGACGAGAGAAAAGAAGAGAAGAAAACAGACAAGACAGGAAGAAAUGACCAAAGAGAUACGAUGAAAAGUGGAGAAAAGAGAAGGGAAAAGAAGAGGCGAAACAGGAGAAAUGAGAAAAGAAGAGAGGAAAAGGUGAGAAGAAACUAUUUCAGUAAGGCAGAGAAGAGACACAAAAAAGAGAUGAGAAGAAAUGAAAAAAUAAGAACACGAGGAGAGAUGAGACUAGAAGAAACACAAAGAGAAAAGAAAAGGAUGAGACAAGAUAAAAGUAUUACAGCAAGGCAGAGAAAGGUUGUGAAAAGAAAAGAUGUGAAGAAACAAGAAAAGGAAAGAAGAGGAGACAAUAGGAAGUGCGAACCUUUGUCUUUUAAGGGGGCAGGAGAGGAGGGGACAGGACAGGAGAAGAAAGGAGAGGACAGGAGAGGAUAUCAAGUGUGAACUCACACAAAAACUUUAAUAUCAAUUUAUCUGAAGUCAAUACCAGAUUUCAUUUCAAGUUCAGUUAUCUGUUCAUACGUUAUUUGCAGUUUUUAACUAUUAUUUCCUUUAGUCUGCCAUUGGCUUUUUAAGGAGGAGAGGAGGGAAGAGGGCAAAAUGAAGUUUGAACCCGCUCGUAAAAUUGGUAAAUAAUUUUUUUAAUAUUAUCAUCAGAAUCACCUUUAUUAUUUUAAGAUUGUAACUGUAAUGCCCCCUUGUCUGCACUGGAUUUUUUAGAGAGGAGAAUAAACAAUUAAAGAGAAGAGAUGUGAAUGGUGAGAAAAGACGUUACAAAGAAGAGAGGGGGAAAUGAAACGAGAAGAAACAAAAGAAGAGUACAGAGGAAAGGAGAGGAGGUGGGGGAAUAUUAAGUUUGAACUCAUGUUAAAGAUAAAUAUCAAUUUAUUUAAUGUUUUGAUCAGAAUGAAUGUAUUAAUGAUUAUUAUUAUUAUAUAAGAGAAGAGAAAAUGAAAUGAGAAGAAAUAAUAGAAGAGAAGAGAGGAGGUGGAGGGGGCAAUGUUAAGUGUAAAACAUUGAAUGUAAAAAGCUGACCAACGUGUGGAGAACUGCUGAACCCUGAACUGCAACUUCAAAAGCUCCAAAAGUGAAAGUCAUGUCUUGACAAUGACUUUUGGUUUAAUCAAACAGUGCAACAAAAGUGUUUUAAAUAGAAAGUCAAAACAGGCGGAAAUGUCUCAGUUUGGUUUCUAAGGUUUGUUUAACCCCAUGGUUUACCUUUGCAAAUCAUAUAAUCUGUUGGAAAAUCAAAAAGGCACUGUAUUUUCAAAAUGUCAUACUAUUUAUACAUAGAUAUACAUUUUGUACAGAGCAAAAUUUUAAACCACGCACAAAUGGUGCAAACCAUUUCCUGUGCCAUGCGUUUCCAUAUUUCUGCAUUAGUCAAAUAAUUAUAUGAUCGGGUUAAAUUAUGUAACCCUAAAAAAAAAAAAAAAAACCCUUCAAAACUUGUGUAUACUCAAAAAUAUAUAACAAACCAAAAGCAAAGUUUCUCCCCACAAAGUUAGCAUAUUUUGGAACAAGGGGCAUUAGAUUUUUUUGUAUUUUUUUUCAUAACUAAACUGUUACUGUGGGUCUGGGUCCCAUGAAAGGCCAGGCCCUCAUUCCCCCUGUGUUAAGUUAGAGUGUCCUUUAUGGUAUACUGCACACAAGUCUGUGGGUAUCAGUCAUUUUCCAGUUUUUGUGACUAUUGCACCUUACAAUUCAGGCAAUACGGUCUCAGUUUCUGAUUUUUGUUGUAUAAUGUUACGUUGAAAUCUGAAAUCUUAAUUACAACGUAGUUACCUCUGAGUUGUUUGCAUGGGGUGCUUCAUGAUUCUGUCCUCCCUCGUCUCAAACUAUAGACAUAUACUUGUCUUGCAGGUUGCUCAGUGUAGAUUUCUCCAAACAAUCAGUCAACAUAAUCAGUCAAGUUGAGCUAUAAUAUAAAUACAAAAAAGAGUGCAAUUCAUAUAAUUGCCUUAAAUUUAUUGCCUAUAUAUCUGUAGUAAAGAAUUCACAAUUAUACAGACUCUUUUUUAGGACAUGUAGUUUGCUUUCCCAUCACUUCUUCUGUCCUCAGUUUGUGUUAGACUUGACUGUGUAACUGAUUUAAAUAACUUUAUUGAUCUUAGAAAUAGAUAAAUGUAAAAAAAAAACCAGCAACAGUCUAUCUUCUCAGGUAAGGUCGAGGGUUACAUUA